GUAUGUCACGAGAUUCCGUAGUUUACUACCAACAUUUUACUCUUUUUCCCGUCGAAAAAGUCCAACCGUAAUUUGUCAUGCAUCUCCUUUGGAUUUACUAAUGAGGCUGUCCAGUAAUUGAACAUUCUAAUGAGAUUAUUACGAGAAAAUCAAAAGUACUUCCUCAGGUUGGUUUAACUUGUACAACGAGAAGUUCCCAGCCAGGUAAUUGACGGCGAAAAACCAUUUUCUUCACUUUCAGAAUUCAAAGCAAGUGACAAGACCAUUAAUGUCACACGUUUUGAUUGCCGCUUCGUGAGGUUUAUUCAUUCAACCAACAACAGUUGUACCUUCAGAUUUUGUUCAAGCGCUUAAGUAAGAACGUGUGGUUUCUAAAACCAUUGGGCUUGAGUUCUACUAUCAAAAGGAGAUCUUGAAAUAAUGACAUGAAUACUCCUGUUUGGAUAAGAUAUCAAAUCGUGAAAUAUGUGCAGCAGUAGAUUUCUUCUAUCUAUUCAAAGCAUGUUAUGUAAGCAAUCCAAGAAUGAAGUUGAAUGGUUUCUUUCCAAGAAGAAUGAUUCAGAACUGGGGCACUUUUCUGCUUUCGCUGGAGAAGCACUGCUUCCCCAAAGUGAGGAUUAUCUCAAUGAGAAAAUGUUAUACAGGAGUUAACAGCACUACACAAGUCGUUACAUUGGUAUUUAAAAAAUUUACUAACAUGUUAAAAAGCAAACUAAAAGCACUCACUCGCAUAAAAUUGUAAUUUUGAAGUUUUUUUUCUAAUUGGUUGACUUAAUAUGACUUCGGUGUUCAGAGGAGUGACGUAUCCUCGAGAAUAUGUUCUUGUUUUCAAACGCACCAGUCGAAUCCAUAUUCUUUGACGUGAAUUGAUGAGAAAAUGUUAUACAGGAGUUCAAACCACCACAUAAGUCGUUAAAUUUGUAAAUUUUUUUAAAUUUGACCAGGAUAAUUCAAUAUUGGUGACUCACAUAGAAAUAAAGUUACCAUCCAAAACUUCA